rnacentral:rRNA from 1 species
GACGAACGCUGGCGGCGUGCUUAACACAUGCAAGUCGAACGAGAGGACAAGAGAAGCUUGCUUCUUUUGGAAUCGAGUGGCAAACGGGUGAGUAACACGUAAACAACCUGCCUUCAGGAUGGGGACAACAGACGGAAACGACUGCUAAUACCGAAUACGCUUGGGAGACCGCAUGAUCUUCCAAGGAAAGGGUGGCCUCUACUUGUAAGCUAUCGCCUGAAGAGGGGUUUGCGUCUGAUUAGGCAGUUGGUGAGGUAACGGCCCACCAAACCUACGAUCAGUAGCCGGUCUGAGAGGAUGAACGGCCACACUGGAACUGAGACACGGUCCAGACUCCUACGGGAGGCAGCAGUGGGGAAUCUUCCGCAAUGGGCGAAAGCCUGACGGAGCAACGCCGCGUGAGUGAUGACGGCCUUCGGGUUGUAAAGCUCUGUUGUUAGGGACGAAGGGUAAGAAGU